rnacentral:rRNA from 1 species
UACGUAGGGGGCAAGCGUUGUCCGGAAUUAUUGGGCGUAAAGGGCGUGUAGGCGGUAUAAUAAGUCAGAUGUGAAAGUUCGGGGCUUAACCCCGGAAUUGCAUUUGAAACUGUAAUACUUGAGUACUGGAGAGGUAAGUGGAAUUCCUAGUGUAGCGGUGAAAUGCGUAGAUAUUAGGAGGAACACCAGUGGCGAAGGCGACUUACUGGACAGAUACUGACGCUGAGGCGCGAAAGCGUGGGGAGCAAACAGG